rnacentral:tRNA from 1 species
CGGUGUGUAGCUCAGCCUGGCUAGAGCGCCCCGCUAACGCGGGGAGGUCGGGGGUUCAAAUCCUUCCCACGCCGA